rnacentral:rRNA from 1 species
UACAGAGGCCUCGAGCGUUAGGCGGAAUCACUGGGCUUAAAGCGUGUGUAGGCGGACUUCUAAGUACCUUGUGAAAUCCCACGGCUCACCCGUGGAACUGCUUGGUAUACUGGUUGUCUUGAGCCUUCUAGGGGCGAGUGGAACAAAUGGUGGAGCGGUGAAAUGCGUAGAUAUCGUCUGGAACGCCGAAGGUGAAAACAGCUCGCUGGGGCCGCGCUGACGCUGAGACACGAAAGCCAGGGGAGCGAACGGG